CAUUUAUUAGUCUAAAUAGGAUUUUUUACUGUUAAUAAAGAGGAGUUAAUUAAACAUAGAUGG
rnacentral:tRNA from 1 species